GUCGAACGGGAUGCUUAGGCAUCUAGUGGCGGACGGGUGAGUAACGCGUGAGAAUCUGGCUCCAGGUCGGGGAUAACAGUUGGAAACGACUGCUAAUACCGGAUGUGCCGAGAGGUGAAAGAUUUAUUGCCUGGAGAUGAGCUCGCGUCUGAUUAGCUAGUUGGUGGUGUAAGGGACCACCAAGGCGUCGAUCAGUAGCUGGUCUGAGAGGAUGAUCAGCCACACUGGGACUGAGACACGGCCCAGACUCCUACGGGAGGCAGCAGUGGGGAAUUUUCCGCAAUGGGCGAAAGCCUGACGGAGCAAUACCGCGUGAGGGAGGAAGGCUCUUGGGUCGUAAACCUCUUUUCUCAAGGAAGAAGAAAGUGACGGUACUUGAGGAAUAAGCAUCGGCUAACUCCGUGCCAGCAGCCGCGGUAAUACGGAGGAUGCAAGCGUUAUCCGGAAUGAUUGGGCGUAAAGGGUCUGCAGGUGGAACUGAAAGUCUGCUGUUAAAGAGUUUGGCUUAACCAAAUAAAAGCGGUGGAAACUACAGAACUAGAGUGCGGUAGGGGCAAAAGGAAUUCCUGGUGUAGCGGUGAAAUGCGUAGAUAUCAGGAAGAACACCGGUGGCGAAAGCGUUUUGCUAGACCGUAACUGACACUGAGGGACGAAAGCUAGGGGAGCGAAUGGGAUUAGAUACCCCAGUAGUCCUAGCCGUAAACGAUGGAUACUAGGCGUGGCUUGUAUCGACCCGAGCCGUGCCGGAGCUAACGCGUUAAGUAUCCCGCCUGGGGAGUACGCACGCAAGUGUGAAACUCAAAGGAAUUGACGGGGGCCCGCACAAGCGGUGGAGUAUGUGGUUUAAUUCGAUGCAACGCGAAGAACCUUACCAAGACUUGACAUCCUGCGAAUCCUGGUGAAAGCUGGGAGUGCCUUAGGGAGCGCAGAGACAGGUGGUGCAUGGCUGUCGUCAGCUCGUGUCGUGAGAUGUUGGGUUAAGUCCCGCAACGAGCGCAACCCUCGUUUUUAGUUGCCAGCAUUAAGUUGGGCACUCUAGAGAGACUGCCGGUGACAAACCGGAGGAAGGUGAGGAUGACGUCAAGUCAGCAUGCCCCUUACGUCUUGGGCUACACACGUACUACAAUGCUACGGACAGAGGGCAGCGAGCCAGGGAUGGCAAGCGAAUCCAGAAACCGUAGCUCAGUUCAGAUCGAAGGCUGCAACUCGCCUUCGUGAAGGAGGAAUCGCUAGUAAUUGCAGGUCAGCAUACUGCAGUGAAUUCGUUCCCGGGCCUUGUACACACCGCCCGUCACACCAUGGAAAGUUGGUCACGCCCCGAAGUCAUUACCCCCAACCGAAAGGGAGGGGGGAUGCCUAA
rnacentral:rRNA from 1 species